AGCCCUUUCUUACGAAAAGUCAACGAGCGAACCCGUAAUGGCGCCGUCCACAUCCACAAGUGUACCACCGCAAGAUGACUGUCUAGUUCACGGAUGUCAAAAAAGGAAAAUCACCGACGAUUUGCUAAAUAGGUUAGCAAGAGACAUCCCAAACGGCAACUACUACGAUUUAUGCGGAAAACUUGAAUAUGGCUAUGACCAGGCCAAGAACACAUUAGAUAAGAACAAGAAUGACUGCGCAAAAGCAACAAGGGAAUGUCUCGCUGGAUGGACUAAUAAAGCAACCAGGAGUUUGGCUGAUUUACACAGAGUCUUAAUUUUAGCUGGAUUGGGUGGUAAGAUUAACCACACCCUAAAGGUUUAAAAGGUCUCAGUGCCAUAAAUACGUGUCUGCAUUGGCAGAAUAUACUUGGGUUAAUAUUAAUUACAGUUUUAAAUCUGGGUCAGGCAAAGAUGCUUACUGCUUACAAUUAAUCCUGUUCAAUGUUAUGGGCAUGAAUCCAGGAGUGUCGGUUCCUAUACUGCAUUAAGCCUUCACUGUACAUUGCCCUCGCGCCAUUUUUAUUUUCCAUGUAAAUGAGAAGUCUAUACAUAUAUCGAAUCAGUAUGUUGAUAAACUGAUAAACAAACGAUUAAAUUGCACGUAUUUGUAAAAGUCGAAAAACUUCACAGCGUUACAUUUUCUAUCAAUUUCUAUUUACAAAAUAAUAAUGUGACUUAUAAAGUGCCAAAUCCACUAUGUAGAGUGCUUAAGGCGCAUAAAGAGCUAAGAGUUAAAUACAAGUUUUUAGAAGAUUUGUUAAAGUUUCGACAGAGGUACAUUUGUUAUGUCUUUAGAAAGGCUAUUCCACAAAGUGGGACAUGCAAACGAUUUUGAAAGUUUGAGAAUAACAAGAAGCUAGAAGUGGAUAAAUCAAUUCUGAUAUGGUGAGAAAGCUGAUGAGUUGAUGCACUUUUGAAAUUAAGUCGCUUUCAAGAACAUCCAUUCUGGACAGUGCUACGAUCAGAGGUAGCAAGGCAAGAUAUUGAUUGGCUUGGCACGUUUAUACUGUUUUGCUUUAAUCCCCACCAAUAGAACCAAUACUCAUGUUUACUUUACCAAAUUGAUAAAGAUAUACUUGGUUAAAUCAUGACCACUGCCAACUGAAAAGUGUGAAUAAUGGUAAUGUCAUUUCUUGCGAAAAAAAACAAUGUCAUCACGAAUAUCCACAUACAAAAAUAACACUAAUUAUGUUUUGGUUCGUUUCUCUCAAGUAGACAGUUUUACCACCAUUUGUAGGAGUGAUGAAGUUGAUUCCCGAAAAUGUGUGUGUGAUGAGAUUAGUCAUUACAGAAAUGAACUUUUGACAAGUUUUUGACCCUGCUUUACUUGAAAAGACAUAUUUUCUGCAGACAUAAUUUAUUUCCUUUUUAUUCAAUAAAAUUGAUUGGAUAAUAUUGUUUGGAUGAUGUUUGAAUCAAUGCAUUUCAGCGACAUGUAAUGGAUUUUUCGUGAGCUACCUGCAAUUACUGAAUAUUUUUUUACAUUGCAAUUUCCAUAUGGACACCAGAACUACUUCUGCGCAUGCAUUUGGUAGAUUUUACAAUACACAAUUCCGGUUUGUUUAUUGCAGACCGGGGGUGGUCAUGAUAAGAUCAAAGCUAUGAAUAAUGUGUGGAAUGUGAUUACGAUUUUUUAACAGAGUAAGAUUAAUUAUUUCAUUAUGUCACCGAACAGAAUCAAUCUUUUGCAGGGUUAAAGAGGACUAAAUAAAUAAUAAGGUUCAGAAUAAUAAAGCUAAUCUAUUGGUGAAUACUAGUCCGACCGGUAAAAGUGGCCAAUACAAACCAUAUCAAUCUUUGUAUAUUCUAAGCAAUAAGUUCUUCACUUUUGCCCAAUUUUUCGACCAGAUACAUAUUUACCAAAACAUCAGUCUGUAAGAGUAAAUCGCAAUCACACACGUACCAUCAGUAGUCACUGUCAUUUUCUAACAAACAAUUUGGUGAACGAGCGUUUUAUACUGUUUUUUUUUCUGUAGUGAAAUUUUGUAGCCUAAAUUUAUAAGAUUUUUCUUUCGAAUGUUAAGAUUACUCCGAUUAUAUCAAUUCGAUCUUAUUUUUCAAAAACAUCAUACACGUGGGGAUCAUAUCUGUGCCCUUUCUUUGUAUUAAACGCUAAAGUUUGACCAACGCAUAACGAUAAUUUUAACUUGUCUAGCUUUGAAUGCCAAUGACGCAAAUACAUCAAGUGUUUGGUUUGAUAUGUUCAUUACUUGGUAAAAAUUGUCAAAGCAAUUAUUUGGUGUUUCGAACACAUUUUGUGGAUUUCAAAAGUUGUAAUAACAUUUUGUUAAGAGCUUGAAUUCAUAGUUUGGCCUAUUUGCUUUUUCUCUUUGUUUGUUUUUCUUUUCAUUUUAAGGAUUACAGUGUAUUAUCAAAUAUAACAUUUGUUUCUAAUAUUGGUUGACGCACGUAUUGUGAAUUGAAAUGUAAACGCA